rnacentral:rRNA from 1 species
CGGAGGGUGCAAGCGUUAUCCGGAUUCACUGGGUUUAAAGGGUGCGUAGGUGGGUUGGUAAGUCAGUGGUGAAAUCUCCGAGCUUAACUUGGAAACUGCCAUUGAUACUAUCAAUCUUGAAUAUUGUGGAGGUUAGCGGAAUAUGUCAUGUAGCGGUGAAAUGCUUAGAUAUGACAUAGAACACCAAUUGCGAAGGCAGCUGGCUACGCAUAUAUUGACACUGAGGCACGAAAGCGUGGGGAUCAAACAGGAUUAGAUACCCUGGUAGUCCACGCCCUAAACUAUGGAUACUCGACAUACGCGAUACACUGUGUGUGUCUGAGCGAAAGCAUUAAGUAUCCCACCUGGGAAGUACGAUCGCAAGAUUG